GCACAUCUUAAGAUCUUGCUGUAGAAAUGGAAUGAGAGUUUUCACCCUGAGUGUGUAGCAGCAAAAUCUGCCAAUCAUGACAAAUUACAUGAAUGAUUCUGUCGAGGCUAAACCAAGAUUGCUGAACUCAUUUUCAUGCAUGGCUAAACAAAAAAUUGAACCUCCUCCUCCAGAAGUGAAAGGCAUGAGGGAUAUUGGAAGUACUUAGUGAGAGGUUCAUUCAGAACAAACCAGAGGAACCAGUUCGUUCAACCUAUAUGGACCUCUGGUGGUACUCCUCAAAUAGAUCAAGGGGUUUAUAGAGAUGCAAGGAGACACUGGGAAAAAAAAACACGGAAGAUGUGCUGUAGAGUUUACUAACUAGAUAAAUCACCCAACCUAACUUGACGAUAUGUUUUGAGAUGGGAGGCAGUAUGUGCUUAGCCUGUUCUUGUUUUUCCUGAGUGUCCACUCCCAUGGUUACUAUGCGAGAUGGAGCUCCAUGCCAGAUCUGGUCUGAACCAAUGCACAAGUUCAUAAGUAACCUUCUCAUUGUACACACAAGUCAGAAUUAAUUAAAUGAAGUUAUUAACAGCUUAAAUACAUUUAUAACUUUCAAGCUUCCUAAAUAAUUGUAGCAUUAUGAAAAGUUAGGACCAGAAGGAACCUUAAGAAGUCACCUAAUAAUCCAUUACCCUGUUCCCUGGCAAAAUCAAUUAUAUUUGUGUCCUUACUAACAAAUUUGUCUAACCCGUUCCUAGAGCUUUCAGCGAUGAAGACUUAACAGCCUCCAUAAGUAAUCUAUUCAAAGUCCACUAUUCAUACUAUGAGAAAGAUUUUUUUUCCCCUGUCUAACUGGAAUCUAAUCAGCUGUUGUUUACUGUAAACCAUUAGUUAACAGCAAGCCAGAGCUAUGAUGAAAGUGUCCUAGAUUUCUGAUGAAUGUUGUCUAGUAACUUUAGUGACUCUGGAAAUAGCCUGCAUGCAGGCUUGGUUUUUAACAUAGCUAGUAGCUACUGGGGUUUGUACUUUGGUAAAUGUGACCAAGCAGGAACAGAGAUCUUUUCUGUAUCUUUUUAGGGAUUUUCAUGUUAUUUUAGUGUCUUAUCUCUUUAGCAUUUUCUGGCCUCAGGUAAACAUUCCCUGAGCAGUACUUUCUAAACCCAGCAUGUUUGGACUUUGCUUCAGCAAAGGCUACUUGAAAGGUAAGUCUACAGAAAAAGUGGGACAGAAAGAUUUCUUUUAAAGUAUUACUGAAGACCAGCAUGCAGUAUUUUCUUCCUUUCCUUUAAGGUCUGAUUUCUGGUUUUGCCUGGAAUUUACUGAACUGUAUGUGUUUAAGAUGAAAUGUUUGAGCUGCCUUAAGGGGUGCCACUCAGUUUGUGUAAACUCUGCUUCUUGCAGAAGACCACUAAUUGCUUUCCUCAUUUUCCAGGUACCUACAGAUUCAGCUGAAGUUGAGUGGGCUGCUCUUGUACAACACAGUGUACAUUAACUUGUUUAAGUCUUUUAAAAAAUCAGCUCAAACGGGGCAUUUUAGCAACACGUUUUAAGCUAAAUUUCUUUGUUUCAGUUUCCAGUCUCUAACAUAAGUAAGAGCACUGUCCCCUCACUUGCAAUGAAUCAUAAAAAUUAGAUUAUUGGUACAUGUGAAACACUCAGAAACAGUAGUGGUGGCUAUUCUGAGGAAAUGAAUGUCUGUGAACAGGGAUUGAAUUAGUAAAUAGACGUGGUGACAUGUAGAACAACAAGGGAAAAAUGUAUUAAAUAGCUGCUCACUGGUGAGCACUGACAAUUCUGUGUACAGAAUGAAGCAAACAUCCUGUGGAAAAAUAGCAUGUAAGGGUGUAUUUGAAGACUUCCAUCAUACUGUGGAUUGCGCAAGGAAGCUGAGUAAAGAUUGCACAGUGCUUUGAUUUUGGUAGUUUUAAACUGAUUGACUGCAAGACUUCAACCUCAGUGAUGUACUUUUAACACAGCCUUGACAACUUUUUCCUCAUCUAUUUAGAGCAACUUCUUUAGCUCCAGACUCAGCUCAUCCCUUGAAGAAUUCCUGCAGCAGUGGAUGUUCUGACAGCCAUAACUCAUGGCCACCCAGCUGUCAAGAGAAUUUUUGCCAUGCUGUAGCUGGAUUUCACAGAUAUAUUCACAGAGGUUGUGGGGUUUUUUGUUUUCAGUCAAGCUUAAACUACAUGUCUUUGCUUUGACUACUUUCCAAAUGACACUAUUACUGUAUUCUUUUUUGACUCCGGCUAUAUUAGGCAGCAUAUGCUUAAACAGCUUGUGGUAGUAACUGAGGUAGGUCUGAUUUGCUCAGCACUGCAUCUAAGAGAACCUUCGGCAACAAUCUUCCGAAACCCUUUUGUUGUGUAACUCUUUUGCUGCAUGAGAAAACUGUUUCUUGCAGACCCAAAAAGUGUCUGUUAGCUGGUUUUCAAAGUGAUAUUCAGCAAACACACUGCGUGGUUGACUCUAGGUUUGCCUUCCAGCAGAUGCCUGUGUCACUAUGUCAUCCAUCAAUUUAGACAAACCAUUUAAUUAUAGGAGGAGCUUUCAGAAAGGUUUCUACCCAGGUGGCUACUCUGAAGGUUAAUCUGUUGCCCAAAAUGGUUUGAAACUUGUUGUCACAAGGAUUGCAGUUUCCAACCUGCCUGGCAGUACCAGGACCUAGAGUGUGAUUUCUAAUAGAGUGGGAUUCAUAUUUAUCCUCAUCGUGAUAUUUGGAAUGUUGCCUACAUAUGGGAUAACCCCUAGCUCCACUGACAAAAUGAAAGUGGUUUCUGUGUAUUGCUGUGCAAACGCCUAUUUUCUAUAUUAUUUAUGGAGCUCCUCCCACUAAUACGACUCGCUAGAGGAUCUGUAAGGCUGUGCUUGUUCUGAAACCACUAUUGAUUAAUGCUGAGAUGAAAUAUUUUUUUAGAAGCUGUCAUUGGAACAUGCUUAGGCUGCACUUGCUGUCAGCUUCACAGUCAUGUUUCUGUGUCUUCCUCUAAAUUCCUCUCCCAGCUGGGCUCUUUCAUAUCUUAGCAUUAAAAUAGAUUCUUCCUAAUUAGACAGAUCUCUGUCAUGAUAAUCAUCUUGAGAACGUAUGCUGUAUUUUCAUACUGCAUAUCUUUUCACAGAACAGGCCUUUACUUUGUAAUUUUUCACAAUCCUAACUCACUGAAUAGAUCCUUUACCAAGCAAUCAUCUCCUGCAAGUAGUAAUUAGUGUCCUGUCAGCUGAUAGUGGCAAGCAUUGGUGUUCAACUGCUGGCAUCAGCAAGUUCGUCUCAUAUCACUUUGCAUUCUGAAAUAUUUGAUUCUUUGGACAUUCCAGUUGUGAAGAGAGUUUUACAAAGCUGAUGUGCAGGGGGGGGAUAAAGAGCAAAUAUGCAUAUUUGUGCAUACAAAGUAAAUUACUAUGUAAGAGGUGAGUGUGCAUAAGUCCAUGGUUAUAAAUAUAAGUGCAUACAUCUAUCACGAGUGAGUUUGUGCUUGUGGCUGAUUACAGAAGAGUUGCUUGGCCAAGGUUU